rnacentral:rRNA from 1 species
GAUGAACGCUGGCGGCGUGCCUAAUACAUGCAAGUCGAGCGAACAGAUAAGGAGCUUGCUCCUUUGACGUUAGCGGCGGACGGGUGAGUAACACGUGGGUAACCUACCUAUAAGACUGGAAUAACUCCGGGAAACCGGGGCUAAUGCCGGAUAACAUUUAGAACCGCAUGGUUCUAAAGUGAAAGAUGGUUUUGCUAUCACUUAUAGAUGGACCCGCGCCGUAUUAGCUAGUUGGUAAGGUAACGGCUUACCAAGGCAACGAUACGUAGCCGACCUGAGAGGGUGAUCGGCCACACUGGAACUGAGACACGGUCCAGACUCCCACGGGAGGCAGCAGUAGGGAAUCUUCCGCAAUGGGCGAAAGCCUGACGGAGCGACGCCGCGUGAGUGAUGAAGGUCUUCGGAUCGUAAAACUCUGUUAUUAGGGAAGAACAGAUGUGUAAGUAACUGUGCACGUCUUGACGGUACCUAAUCAGAAAGCCACGGCUAACUACGUG